GAUGAACGCUAGCUACAGGCUUAACACAUGCAAGUCGAGGGGCAGCAUGACGAUAGCUUGCUAUUGUUGAUGGCGACCGGCGCACGGGUGAGUAACGCGUAUCCAACCUGCCCUUGUCCACCGGAUAACCCGUCGAAAGGCGGACUAACACGGUAUGCAGUUCUCAGCGGGCAUCUAACGAGAACGACAUGUAAAGGAGAAGGAUGGGGAUGCGUCUGAUUAGCUUGUUGGCGGGGUAACGGACCACCAAGGCGACGAUCAGUAGGGGUUCUGAGAGGAAGGUCCCCCACAUUGGAACUGAGACACGGUCCAAACUCCUACGGGAGGCAGCAGUGAGGAAUAUUGGUCAAUGGGCGAGAGCCUGAACCAGCCAAGUAGCGUGCAGGAAGACGGCCCUAUGGGUUGUAAACUGCUUUUAUACGGGGAUAAAGUGGGUCACGUGUGGCUUAUUGCAGGUACCGUAUGAAUAAGGACCGGCUAAUUCCGUGCCAGCCGCCGCCGUAA
rnacentral:rRNA from 1 species